GACGUAGGGCGCGAGCGUUGUCCGGAUUUAUUGGGCGUAAAGAGCUCGUAGGCGGCUUGUCGCGUCGACUGUGAAACUCGGGGCUCAACUCCGAGCUUGCAGUCGAUACGGGCAGGCUAGAGUUCGGUAGGGGAGACUGGAAUUCCUGGUGUAGCGGUAGAAAUGCGCAGAUAUCAGGAGGAACACCGGUGGCGAAGGCGGGUCUCUGGGCCGAUACUGACGUGGAGGAGCGAAAGCGUGGGGAGCGAACAGG
rnacentral:rRNA from 1 species